GUGAAGAACGUAGCGAAAUGCGAUAAGUAAUGUGAAUUGCAGAAUUCCGUGAAUCAUCGAAUCUUUGAACGCACAUUGCGCCCCCUGGUAUUCCGGGGGGCAUGCCUGUCCGAGCGUCAUUGCAACCCUCAAGCGCGGCUUGUGUGUUGGGCUUCGUCCCCCCGUGGACGUGCCCGAAAGGCAGUGGCGGCGUCCCGAAUGGUGCCCGAGCGUAUGGGAACUCUCUUCCGCUCGAACCGGCCCAUUCGGCGCUGGUCGAACCCCAAUUUUUUUUUACCGGUUGACCUCGGAUCAGGUAGGGAUACCCGCUGAACUUAAGCAUAUCAAUAAGCGGAGGA
rnacentral:misc_RNA from 1 species